rnacentral:rRNA from 1 species
UACGUAGGGCGCAAGCGUUGUCCGGAAUUACUGGGCGUAAAGCGCACGCAGGCGGUCUUUUAAGUUUGACGUGAAAGCUCCCGGCUUAACUGGGAGAGGUCGUUGAAGACUGGGAGACUUGAGGCAAUGAGAGGGGUGUAGAAUUCCCGGUGUAGUGGUGGAAUGCGUAGAUAUCGGGGGGAAUACCAGUGGCGAAAGCGGCACCCUAGCAUUAGCCUGACGCUCAUGUGCGAAAGCGUGGGGAGCGAACGGG